CCUACGGGAGGCAGCAGUGGGGAAUUUUGGACAAUGGACGAAAGUCUGAUCCAGCCAUGCCGCGUGCAGGAAGAAGGCCUUCGGGUUGUAAACCGCUUUUGUCAGGGAAGAAAUCUUCUGGGCUAAUAACUCGGGAGGAUGACGGUACCUGAAGAAUAAGCACCGGCUAACUACGUGCCAGCAGCCGCGGUAAUACGUAGGGUGCAAGCGUUAAUCGGAAUUACUGGGCGUAAAGCGUGCGCAGGCGGUUAUGCAAGACAGAUGUGAAAUCCCCGGGCUCAACCUGGGAACUGCAUUUGUGACUGCAUAGCUAGAGUGCGGCAGAGGGGGAUGGAAUUCCGCGUGUAGCAGUGAAAUGCGUAGAUAUGCGGAGGAACACCGAUGGCGAAGGCAAUCCCCUGGGCCUGCACUGACGCUCAUGCACGAAAGCGUGGGGAGCAAACAGGAUUAGAUACCCUGGUAGUCCACGCCCUAAACGAUGUCAACUGGUUGUUGGGAAGGUUCCUUCUCAGUAACGUAGCUAACGCGUGAAGUUGAACCGCCUGGGGAGUUACGGCCGCAAGGUUGAAACUUCAAAGGAAUUGACGGCNGAGAGNGCGAGACGACGACGAGGAGGAGG
rnacentral:rRNA from 1 species